rnacentral:rRNA from 1 species
GGCGAUCAGAUACCGCCCUAGUUCUAACCGUAAAUGAUGCCAACUAGCGAUCCGCCGAUGGAGAUUAUAAUUGCCUUGGUGGGGAGCUUCCCGGAAACGAAAGUCUUCCGGUUCCGGGGGAAGUAUGGUUGCAAAGCUGAAACUUAAAGGAAUUGACGGAAGGGCACCACCAGGAGUGGAGCCUGCGGCUUAGUUUGACUCAACACGGGAAAACUCACCCGGCCCGGACACUGUGAGGAUUGACAGAUUGAUAGCUUUUUCAUGAUUCAGUGGAUGGUGGUGCAUGGCCGUUCUUAGUUCGUGGAGUGAUUUGUCUGGUUUAUUCCGAUAACGAGCGAGACUCUAACCUACUAAAUAGUUGAUAUUUAUUUAUAAGAAUAUACAACUUCUUAGAGGGAUUUGCGGUGUUUAGCCGAAAGAAAUUGAGCAAUAACAGGUCUGUGAUGCCCUUAGAUGUCCGGGGCUGCACGCGCGCUACACUGGCAAAAUCAACGUGCUUGUCCUUCCCCGAAAGGGGCGGGUAAACCAUUGAAAAUUUGCCGUGAUUGGGAUCGGAAAUUGCAAUUAUUUUCCGUGAACGAGGAAUUCCAAGUAAGUGCGAGUCAUCAGCUCGCGUUGAUUACGUCCCUGCCCUUUGUA